GAUGAACGCUGGCGGCGUGCUUUACACAUGCAAGUCGAACGAAGCAUUUAAGACAGAUUCCUUCGGUUUGAAGUCUUUUAUGACUGAGUGGCGGACGGGUGAGUAACGCGUGGGUAACCUGCCUCAUACAGGGGGAUAGCAGCUGGAAACGGCUGGUAAUACCGCAUAAGCGCACAGUACCACAUGGUACAGUGUGAAAAACUCCGGUGGUAUGAGAUGGACCCGCGUCUGAUUAGCUUGUUGGCGGGGUAACGGCCCACCAAGGCGACGAUCAGUAGCCGACCUGAGAGGGUGACCGGCCACAUUGGGACUGAGACACGGCCCAGACUCCUACGGGAGGCAGCAGUGGGGAAUAUUGCACAAUGGAGGAAACUCUGAUGCAGCGACGCCGCGUGAGUGAAGAAGUAGUUCGCUAUGUAAAGCUCUAUCAGCAGGGAAGAUAGUGACGGUACCUGACGAAGAAGCUCCGGCUAAAUACGUG
rnacentral:rRNA from 1 species